GGAAGUCAUCCUAUCCUUUUUAAGGUGACUCUUGAGUUUAAGGUCAGUGCAUAGUUCUAAGGCUGUGGUGUUUAUAAGACUAACGAUGUCUCCAUAAGUCAUUAGGUCGUAGGGUAUCUUACCGCCACACCUAUCUCUGAUCUUAUAUCUAACCUUUUCGGCGAAUAAAGGAGGAAGACCGCUAAUAAACCUCUCUUUCCAGAAGUCGCUAUUGCAGUCGGGUCUAGUCAUAAUUUUGACCAUAAAUUGGUCUUUAUACCACCUAAAAUCACUAAGUUUAGGG
rnacentral:lncRNA from 1 species